rnacentral:rRNA from 1 species
CCUACGGGUGGCAGCAGUCGAGAAUCAUUCACAAUGGGGGAAACCCUGAUGGUGCGACGCCGCGUGGGGGAAUGAAGGUCUUCGGAUUGUAAACCCCUGUCAUGUGGGAGCAAAUUAAAAAGAUAGUACCACAAGAGGAAGAGACGGCUAACUCUGUGCCAGCAGCCGCGGUAAUACAGAGGUCCCAAGCGUUGUUCGGAAUCACUGGGCGUAAGGCGUGCGUAGGCUGUUUCGUAAGUCGUGUGUGAAAGGCGCGGGCUCAACCCGCGGACGGCACAUGAUACUGGGAGACUAGAGUAAUGGAGGGGGAACCGGAAUUCUCGGUGUAGCAGUGAAAUGCGUAGAUAUCGAGAGGAACACUCGUGGCGAAGGCGGGUUCCUGGACAUUAACUGACGCUGAGGCACGAAGGCCAGGGGAGCGAAAGGGAUUAGAUACCCCUGUAGUC